AAAAUUCUCCCUCCGUCCCAAAAUUCUUGUCUUAGAUUUGUCUAAAUACGGAUGUAUCAAGUCACGUUUUAGUAUUAGAUACAUCCGUAUUUAGGCAAAUCUAAGACAAGAAUUUUGGGACGGAGGGAGUAUAAU
rnacentral:pre_miRNA from 1 species